CGCCUACGGGAGACAGCAGUGGGGAAUAUUGGGCAAUGGGCGCAAGCCUGACCCAGCAACGCCGCGUGAAGGAAGAAGGCUUUCGGGUUGUAAACUUCUUUUAUCAGGGACGAAGCAAGUGACGGUACCUGAUGAAUAAGCCGCGGCUAACUACGUGCCAGCAGCCGCGGUAAUACGUAGGUGGCAAGCGUUAUCCGGAUUUACUGGGUGUAAAGGGCGUGUAGGCGGGAGUGCAAGUCAGAUGUGAAAACUAUGGGCUCAACCCAUAGCCUGCAUUUGAAACUGUACUUCUUG
rnacentral:rRNA from 1 species